AGCAGAAGAAAGAAAUUAAUACAGGUUCGGGACAAGAUGAGAGUGAGUAAAUAAUGACAGAAUUUAAAUUUUUGGGUGAACUAUCCCUGUAAU